rnacentral:rRNA from 1 species
AUGAACGCUGGCGGCGUGCCUAAUACCUGCAAGUCGCGCGAACAGACGAGGAGCUUGCUCCUCUGACGUUAGCGGCGGACGGGUGAGUAACACGUGGAUAACCUACCUAUAAGACUGGGAUAACUUCGGGAAACCGGAGCUAAUACCGGAUAAUAUAUUGAACCGCAUGGUUCAAUAGUGAAAGACGGUUUUGCUGUCACUUAUAGAUGGAUCCGCGCCGCACUAGCUAGUUGGUAAGGUAACGGCUUACCAAGGCAACGAUGCGUAGCCGACCUGAGAGGGUGAUCGGCCACACUGGAACUGAGACACGGUCCAGACUCCUACGGGAGGCAGCAGUAGGGAAUCUUCCGCAAUGGGCGAAAGCCUGACGGAGCAACGCCGCGUGAGUGAUGAAGGUCUUCGGAUCGUAAAACUCUGUUAUUAGGGAAGAACAAAUGUGUAAGUAACUAUGCACGUCUUGACGGUACCUAAUCAGAAAGCCACGGCUAACUACGUG